ACACCUUUCUUAGUUUUAUGUUAAUGUUCACCUAAUCUAUUUUAUUUAGUAAAAGUUUACUGAUUAGGGAUAAAUGACUAAUUGGCAGUUUGUCUGGGGCGGACGUCUUUAAUAGAGUAUCAGAGACAUCCACAAGGUAUGUUUUAAAUUGGAUGGAGACCAAGAAAGCCAUAGACGGUAUAAUAAGGUAUAAUGACUUAAGCAUGCUUAACUGAGAGACCCAUAAGUCAACCAGAUACGAAAGUAGGGCAUAAUGAUCCGGCGGUAUAUUAUGGAAUAGCCGUCGCACAAUA
rnacentral:rRNA from 1 species